CGAGAAAGAGGAUCACACUGCUGCUCAUCACGGCAGGAAUCAAGCGCACAUUGGGACCAACUAAAAACGUUCAAGACCUUCAUGCUAAAGGUUUAGGCCUUUUUAUUUUUUGCAAGGUUUAACAGAAAACAAUUUCUGACUUUUUGUUUGUUUAGCAUCAAGUUGGAUCUAACGCCAUGAGCAAGGUACAGAAGAGCUGCGGAAGCCGAAAUGCGGUUUUAUCUGCUCUGUGAAUUCUAUCCUUCAUUCCACCGGAGUCUGUGUAGCUGUCCAAUCAGAUUUCAGUGGUGUGAAGUGUAGGAGACAUGGAAAGAUCACUUUUUCCACAACCUGCAAAGGUUCACGGCCUGUAUCGUGUUAACAGAAAAAGCAGCACGGUUAUAAGGUGAAACACAUGUUAAAAAUACAACUACAAGUUUUAGAAGGCAUGCAUGACUAGUUUUCAGUUGUAGUAUAAUUUGCAUUGUGCUUUCAUGCUUGCACGGAUCAAUGCAGGCCGUGACAGUUGUAUGCUAAACACUGUGAAUGUUAAGCCCCGGCUCUCCUAAUGUGCAUUGAACGCUUUUCAGAGUAUCUAAACAUCUAUCUAAAGCAUCGUACCUCACUCUGCCCUUUAGCGCACAGCGACAGUUCCACACAACAUGGCAUGUUUGUUCAUUUGCUGUUGUGGAGAGAGCCAAGGCGGGCUAAGUACACACACACACACACAUACAAUAUUCACAAAGCCUGCCAAGAUGUAUUUAUGUAUGCUGGUUCAGCCUUUAUCCUCUCAACCCACACUAAUAAACUCACUUUACAAAA